AUUGAACGCUGGCGGCAGGCCUAACACAUGCAAGUCGAACGAGUGGCGGACGGGUGAGUAAUGUCUGGGAAACUGCCUGAUGGAGGGGGAUAACUACUGGAAAUGGUAGCUAAUACCGCAUACCAUCGGUUGUGCACAGAUGGGAUUAGCUAGUAGGUGGGGUAAAGGCUCACCGAGUCGAAGAUACCUAGCUGGUCUGAGAGGAAGACCUGCCACACUGGAACUGAGACACGGUCCAGACUGCUACGGGAGACACAAGGGGGGAAUAUUGCACAAGGUGCGCAAGCCGGAUGCAGCAAUGCCGCGUGUAUGAAGAAGGCCUGCGGGUUGUAAAGUACUUUCGGCGGGGAGGCGUUACCCGCAGAAGAAGCAACGGCUAACUACGUGCCAGCCGCCGCGGUAAUUC
rnacentral:rRNA from 1 species